UCGUUCACCUCACGCCAUUGUUUCCCGUCUAUGAUGAUCACUAUUUUGGGAAGACGCUUGCUCGACUGGCUCCGUAAUGGUUUUGUUUGGUCCAAGACUAACUUCUUCAUCUUGGGUUUAGUUUUUAGCUAUGCCUUGGUUAAGAAAGCAGUGGUGGACAUUUUGAUUGACUUCCUUACAGACGAAGGUCUAAGUCUGUGGCAAGCUGUUUUGGUUGUGCUUCUUCUAGAUUGGAUAUCAGCUGUGUUUAAAGUUGUUGUUACGCACGUAUCCGAAGUUUACUCAGGUCGCUUCAGCGUGAUUAUCUUCUGCACCGCAGUCUAUGCUAUGGUUGCACGAAGGAGGAAGACGAGUUGUAGACUCAGAUUGAAAACUGAUUUCACAGUCGAAGCUUUAGUGAAGAUGACCUCAAAUCAAAAUGAAAGAACUAAGGAAGGAAAGCACGAACGAAGAUUCUUCCUCAAACGCUCCAAUCAACAACGUCGCAUAGAAAAGAGAAGAAGAGCCUCGAUCUUAGACUGAAUGAAGAAGAGUCUCCCUAUCUCAGUCUCAGAUCGAUGGCAUCGCACGCAAGGUAGCCUGGUAGAAUGGAAGAAGGGUUUUUUGGGCAUCAGAAAUUUUUUCAGACUUCAUACCCAAUGACCCGUCGGAAUCGCUUUCGGUCUAAUUCUGGAUCUCUAAAAAUUGUCCGGUCCAAAGCGGUUCGAAACGGUCCAACUCACAUAACGGUCCAACGAGUUAAACCGAGCUGUCUUCAUGCCCAGGCAAUGGUCUUCAUGUCCAGGCAAUGGUUUGACACGUCCGAUUAGCCGGGGAUUGAUGCAAUUUUGGAUUUGCGCCAGGAAUUUAAAUCGCGGCACGUUGAUUUUUGCAGUUGUACUCACUGCGCUAGGCGAAGCCGGACAAGAGCCAGUUUUAGAAGAUUAUUUUGAUUAUCAACUAAGUGAAGAAGUAAGCAGAAAACGUACCCAAGAGGACAAUUUCAGCAGAACUACUUAUCAUUGGUGGCCAGCUGCUUCCUUUGUUGGCUCCGUUGUAGCUUUCAUCGCUUUGGGCCCAACUCUUUGGGAGGAAACUUUCCAAAUUUCGUCUUAUAUUAUGGCAAGUACGUAUUUGUUAUUCUUCUUGGGGAUUUUUUACUAUUAUCCUGAAGAAAGACCCUUAGCCUCAGAAGUCCUCUAACCACCACAUAUAGGGUCUUGAAGGCAGCUAUUAAGAAGCUUAGAUUGCCAUACCCUUCUUCAGAAGAGGGCUAUUACUCCAACAGUAACAAUGAAGAUUCAGAUGUUUCCCAAGAUUCAUUUUAUCUAAGGAAAAAUGGGGAGGUUCACUUGUUGCCUCGUGAUCCAUCAUGUUUGUCGUUCUUGGACAAGGCUGCUAUAAUUAGGAACAACUCCAAUGGUGAAAGGGAAGAGCGAAAUGGAGAGAUUUGUACGGUCGUUCAAGUGAGGGAUGUGAAGAGCCUUUAUCCUAUCAUACAGUGGGCGUAUUUGCUCUUCGCUUGCAGUUUGGUUUCAGCUUCUGGGAACACUUACUUUAUUCAGCAAGCUCAAAACUUGGAUUCUAAAGUUGGUGAUUUCCAUGUCUCUGUUGUUUUUUUCUUUGUACUAAAGUCUUUUGUUGUUCGUGUGGUCAGAAUAAUUCAAUCAAUAAAAGAACUGGUGAAACCAACUUGGAGUAUAGCUGUUGGGAUGUUUUGUUCAGUACUCUGCGGAAUUGCGGCCUGGCUGGUGGAACGUCAAAGGAAGCAUUUAACUCUAAAUGACCCACAAAAGAACAUUAUUUCCUUCAGCGUAAUGUGGUUAACUCCAUAAUUUUUCCUCUUAGGGCUAAUGGAAUCAUUUGUUGAAGAUGGACUAGUAAAUUUUGUGUGUUGUCAGGUGCCUGCAUCGAUGAGAACAUUUGUGGGUCCGUGCUCUGGAUUUCUCUUGGCAACUGAAAAGCUCUUCGGCUUACAAUUUGCAUAUUGUUUUGGGGUCUUGACCAAUGAAUCCAUGGAAACAAGUUGCUGGAUUGGUAUUUUCUGUUUCUGGCAGCACUCAGCUUGGGGUUCUUUUGCAUUUAUGUGAGUAUUAUUGUGUGUAUUCAUUCAUCCAAUUCAUUCCUCCACGAAGAAACAUGAAGUACGUGGUGAUGAGGGGUCAAAUUAAUAUAUUUGAAGAUCUUUUGAUAACUGUCGAAGACGCUUCUAAAGAUUAUGCAUCUCACAACAGAAGCAAGAAGGAUAAAUAGAUGAUCCAAAAAGAGGCUAGAUGAACUGAAUCUGUAAUUGUCACUUUACUCCAGUAUGAUGGUGAUACAGGUUACUUAUAGACACAAGUGAGUAAGUAUUUGGUAGAGAUAUAGGAUUAUAAUUAUGUAUAUGAUUAGUUACUCAGAAGGAUAAGGCCUGUGCACACUGUACUAUUUCUGUUCUCUCAA